CUCCCUCAUAUGGAAGUAUCUGAAGCAAGAAUUACAGCACCUUGAUUUUGUGUGGUACUCAGUUGCCAGCUGGAGUUAAAUCAUGACAAAUGUAUAUGGAAUCUUGCUUGUUGUCAUUUUGUCAGGUAUGAAAGCAUGUAGUUGCACACACAUAAGGCUGACACAAAGAAAUGUGGUUUACUUCUGUUACUAACCGUAUACCUUAUUAAUAUGAGAGCAAAUCUGGAAAUUGCUGCAUUUGGAAAAUAUCUGUAACUAAAUAAGUGCAUAAAUAACCCUGGUAAUUAUUUCAGUGAGUGCUAUCAUUAUGGCCAGCACUGGACAGCAUGUGGAAAACUCUGUUUUGACUAUGGUAAGCUCAGAGAAUGCUAGCCAAUAUGCAAUAGCAGUGUAUCACACAUCUGCUUUAUUUGCACAUAUCUCUACCUAAUGGGUAUGAACAUCAGCAAUGACUACUUACUUUUGAUUUAGGGAGAGAUGACAAUUGAGAUGGAAAAGCAUAUUGAGAGACAGAACCUCUCUUUUAGCACUAUAUAGAUUUUCCAUUGACUUCACCUGCACGAGACACACCAUUCAAAGAUGAUCCAGACUGGAAGCAUUACUUUCUGUAAUAGCCAGAGCUAUUAUGCUGAUACUGUGAAAAUGGUUCUUCUCUGUCCUUACCAUCCCUUUCUCCCCUGACUUACAUUGCAUACAGAUACUGGGACUGAGAAGGUGCUGUAAUAAUCAUUCCUGAACUGUGUAUGUAUAUCGUGUUAUUUAUGCAAGGCCUUUGAGAACCUUCUGUAUCUUCUUCAGUAUCACAUUUGGAAGAUUAGUGACUUAGCUGUGAAGCUCCUCUAGGCUUUUCUGAAAAGAGGUUCUUUUUUAGCAUGUGUUUCUCCUUCCACAUUUAUGAGACCAUCUCUCUGCAUUCAUGUCAAAAUAAAACAGGAAAGAAAACUGCAGAAGUUGGAAAAGCAGAGAACAAUGCUUAUCCAUCCACCUUGAAUUCUAGGCUGAGCAAUGUUCACUUGCUCCAAGUAGUUUGGUGGCAGUCACAACUGCUGGAAAUAUUUGUAUGUGUCCUGUGGAAAAGACUAUUAGAGACUGUGGUUAUAAAACCUAAACUGUUCAAACCGAGCAGAUGUAACUUCUGCUUAUUUCCAUGGAACUGAUAAUUCACACAAGCCAAUAAAGUAUAGCAAAUU